rnacentral:snoRNA from 1 species
GAAGGGGAGAGAGAAUCAUCCUAAGAUCCUAAGUGUCCCAUGCUAGAGCAAACUAUGGCCCUGAACCACUGAACCAUUGCCUGUUCUCUGUCCAUACGCCACAGUCACUGAAGCAGGUUAUACAGCA